rnacentral:tRNA from 1 species
GUUAGUGUGGCAGAGCUUGGAUAGUGCAAAAGGUCUAAGCCCUUUCUACAGAGGUUCAAUUCCUCUCUCUAACU